GACGUAGGGCGCGAGCGUUGUCCGGAUUUAUUGGGCGUAAAGAGCUCGUAGGCGGCUUGUCGCGUCGACUGUGAAAACCCGCGGCUCAACUGCGGGCCUGCAGCCGAUACGGGCAGGCUAGAGUUCGGUAGGGGAGACUGGAAUUCCUGGAUGUAGCGGUGAAAUGCGCAGAUAUCAGGAAGAACACCCGUGGCGAAGGCGGUUCCCUGGGACGGUACUGACGCUGAGACGCGAAAGCGUGGGGAGCCGAACAGG
rnacentral:rRNA from 1 species